UACGUAGGUGGCAAGCGUUGUCCGGAUUUACUGGGCGUAAAGGGCGUGCAGGCGGUCUGUUAAGUGCAGGGUGAAAGCUCCCGGCUCAACUGGGAGAGGUCCUUGCAUACUGGCGGACUUGAGGGGGGUAGAGGAAAGUGGAAUUCCCGGUGUAGUGGUGAUAUGCGUAGAUAUCGGGAGGAACACCUGUGGCGAAGGCGGCUACCUGGACCGGUUCUGACGCUGAGGCGCGAAAGCGUGGGUAGCAAACAGGA
rnacentral:rRNA from 1 species